GGCAGUUCUCGGGCGACGCACCCGGAACCAGAGAGGAAGGAGCCCGAUUCCAGGGUGUGUCACCGGAGAACUGCC
rfam:Myotis brandtii contig161831, whole genome shotgun sequence.